rnacentral:rRNA from 1 species
CCUGAGAAACGGCUACCACAUCCAAGGAAGGCAGCAGGCGCGCAAAUUACCCACUCCCGGCACGGGGAGGUAGUGACGAAAAAUACCGGGAAGGGACUUAUGGUCCCCGCUCCCGGAAUGAGGCAACUCCAAAUCCUUUCACGAGGAUCCAUUGGAGGGCAAGUCUGGUGCCAGCAGCCGNGGUAACUCCAGCUCCAAUAGCGUAUAUUAAAGUUGUUGCGGUUAAAAAGCUCGUAGUUGGAUCUCAGCUCCGGCCGGUGUCAGCGGGGUCGNGGUACGUUCUCCGUCUGUGCCGGUGCCGGGCUUCUCUCCGCCGGGUGGCCGGCCGUGGCUUCCGUUGCCCGCGCUCGGGGAAACCCGCGGCGUGCGGUUGCGGCGGCGGCGGUGGCUAGGUGCCCGGUCACGUUUACUUUGAGUAAAUUAGAGUGCUCAAAGCAGGCUUUUUUCGCCUGUGGAUCUCGGUGCAUGGAAUAAUGGAACAGGACCUCGCGUCUUUGUUUGUUGGUUUCCGGGCGCCCCGAGGUAAUGAUUAAGAGGGACGGUUCGGGGACAUUCGUACUGCGGCGUGAAAGGUGAAAUUCUUGGAUCGUCGCAAGACGAACUGCGGCGAAAGCAUUUGCCAAGAACGUCUCCAUUAAUCAAGAACGAAAGUUAGAGGUUCGAAGGCGAUCAGAUACCGCCCUAGUUCUGACCGUAAACGAUGCCAACUGACAAUCUGGCCCUUGUCGCGCGCAAGACGGGCUAGGCGGCCCCCGGGAAACCAAAGUUUUUGGGUUCCGGGGGGAGUAUGGUUGCAAAGCUCAAACUUAAAGGAAUUGACGGAAGGGCACCACAAGGAGUGGAGCCUGCGGCUUAAUUCGACUCAACACGGGAAACCUCACCAGGCCCGGACACCGGAAGGAUUGACAGACCUUUCUCUAUGAAGCUCUUUCUCGAUUCGGUGGGUGGUGGUGCAUGGCCGUUCGUGGUUGGUGGAGCGAUCUGUCUGGUUCAUUCCGAUAACGAACGAGACUC